UGACUCCAUGUGAUAUUUGGCGAGGCUUAUCUUUGAGAGAGCCUCAGUUAUGGUAGCAGACAUCAUCGAUAUGAUGUCCAGGCCAUCAAAGGCCUAGAGCUCUCACCCUGCUCUUGUAGUGACCUAUCGAGUGUUUAUUUUCUGGGAGCCUCCUCCUCCAUUCUACUUGAAAGUCAACUUUGAUGGGAGUGUUAGAGGCAGG
rnacentral:lncRNA from 1 species